rnacentral:rRNA from 1 species
GAUGAACGCUGGCAGCGUGCCUAAUACAUGCAAGUCGAGCGAACAGACGAGGAGCUUGCUCCUCUGACGUUAGCGGCGGACGGGUGAGUAACACGUGGAUAACCUACCUAUAAGACUGGGAUAACUUCGGGAAACCGGAGCUAAUACCGGAUAAUAUAUUGAACCGCAUGGUUCAAUAGUGAAAGACGGUUUUGCUGUCACUUAUAGAUGGAUCCGCGCCGCAUUAGCUAGUUGGUAAGGUAACGGCUUACCAAGGCAACGAUGCGUAGCCACCUGAGAGGGUGGUCGGCCACCCUGGAACGGAAACGCGGUCCAGACUCCUGAGAGAGGCAGCAGUAGGGAAUCUGCCGCAAUGGGCGAAAGCCUGACGGAGCAACGCCGCGUGAGUGAUGAAGGUCUUCGGAUCGUAAAACUCUGUUAUUAGGGAAGAACAAAUGUGUAAGUAACUAUGCACGUCUUGACGGUACCUAAUCAGAAAGCCACGGCUAACUACGUG